AAGCAGUGGAAACCACUUUUCAAAGGUGUGGAGACUGAUGAACUGGAGUUGCUGACAAGAAGACUGAAGGAAUGUUGUGCUGGACUGCGAAAUAUCAGAACUGGGGUGGAUGAUCAGUUCCACUGCCAAAUGGAAACAAAUAUGUUAGCAUUAGAGUUGAGAUUCUGCAUGGCUGAAUCCAUUGUGGAUUUGUUGAGGUGGUCCUCCAGGUAUGGCCCGGGGCACUCAAGUUUUAACAAAAUUAUGUGUAACAUUUGGAGGUGUAUCUAUAUGGUGUUGUUAUGA
rnacentral:lncRNA from 1 species